GGGGGAAACAAACACCGUGCCUCUAAGUAAGUUGUAGGAGAAAAACUCGAAAAACGGAGAGCGAAAAAAUGUUAUUGAGGCGGAUUGAAAACGGGCCGGUAUAAAAUACGAGUAAUAUCGAGUAAUAUUAUAUUACAGCCGAAUCCGGAAAUUUGCAUUGACUUUAGGCCACGCAUUAAAUUCCCACGUCCGUCUGUUUUUUUCCGUCCGUGUUUUCGUAAGCCUUUUGAAUAUUAAACACGUUAUAAUAAUACAGGUAGGUAGGUAUUGUACCCAUCCGCGUAAACCGUGUAGCGAUCGAAAUAUCGUAUUGUUUUUUUUUUUUAGUACAGUGAAUCCUUAACCCGUAAACGACACAAAUAAAUUGUUAUUUCAUAGCUC